rnacentral:rRNA from 1 species
GAAACUUAAAGGAAUUGGCGGGGGAGCACUACAACCGGGGGGAGCCUGCGGUUCAAUUGGACUCAACGCCGGACAUCUCACCAGCCCCGGACAGUAGUCGUGACGGUCAGGUUGAUGACCUUACCCGAGCUACUGAGAGGAGGUGCAUGGCCGCCGUCAGCUCGUACCGUGAGGCGUCCUGUUAAGUCAGGCAACGAGCGAGACCCGCACCCCUAGUUGCCAGCAGCAGCCAUUGGCUGGCUGGGUACACUAGGGGGACUGCCGCUGCCAAAGCGGAGGAAGGAACGGGCAACGGUAGGUCAGUAUGCCCCGAAUGGGCUGGGCUACACGCGGGCUACAAUGGCCGGGACAGUGGGAUGCGACCCCGAGAGGGGAAGCUAAUCUCCUAAACCCGGUCGUAGUUCGGAUUGAGGGCUGAAACUUGGCCUUCAUGAAGCUGGAUUCGGUAGUAGUCGCGUCUCAUCAAGGCGCGGCGAAUACGUCCCUGCUCCUCGCACACACCGCCCGUCAAAGCACCCGAGUGAGGUCCGGAUGAGGCCGCCGCGAGGCGGUCGAAUCUGGGCUUCGCAAGGGGGCUUAAGUCGUAACAA